rnacentral:rRNA from 1 species
AUGGAGUCAGAACUCCGUCCUGAUCCCACCCGUGCCAUUCCCUCUUUCAGAGACGACCGGACCCGUGAGCCCCAACGCCGGUGCCCCUUCUCUGUUCGCCAACGCCGCCAUCAGCUCGUCCUCUCCCUGGUGCGUGUGAACCCCCUGGUCGGGUGCGUCACCGUCUUCCGCACCCUCCGUUGGCCGGAGCUCGGCCGGAGCCCAUCGGAGCCGGCCGGGACAUCGCCGGCCAAGCCCAGCCGUGCCUCUGCCUCGCCCCGCUCUCUGUUUCUGACGGGCGCGAGCGAGAAGAAGGAGCGGGAGGAGAGAGAAAGGAGUGGGACCCACCCGUCAGCCACACGCGCCGCCAGCCCCACCAUUGCCCACGUGGAUAAGUGGCCGCGCUCUCUCGCGAGUUCGUUUUCCCGUGAGUAA